CUUCUGCGGUUUAGCCCGCAGCACCACCAUGUCCCUUUUGCCAUUACCCAUGCUUCCUGUCAAAACAAGGUUGGUCCCAGGUCCCAGGCAUGUGUAGGGGUGAUCAGGCAGAGAAGUGAAGGGGUGAGCAAGCAAUCAUGCUGUCAGGGGGAUUGGAGCAAUGGGGGAGUGAUUGGGCAAGCAAGCGAGAGGACAGGCCAGCUAGCACGUUUUUCUGCUUCUAUUAGGAAUGUUCAUAUAUGUGAAAUCAAUUCCAACCAAUCGAUUUCACAUUCGCCUCAAAAGAAACAGACCUCUGGCAGAGAAGCAGAAAAUCUCACUCCCCAGGCACAUUAUUCUACAUGUGCAUGUACCUAGUGUGUACAUUAAAAUUUAAGUAUUUUUUAAAAGCAGAAUGCAAUAUAACAAUGGUUUUUAUUGUCCGUAGAAUCAAGCCCUUAGACUCUGUUUAGAUUAUGCUACUCUGUUAUAAUACACUUGAGGUUAUGUUCUUCAUUUGAACAGAAGAAAAUCUGUAGGAGAUUUGAUCCUUGAAAGGAUGAGAAACAUGAGUUUGGAAAAGAGCAUCUUUGCAUUCUUUCAACAGUCCCACUUUCCAGAUAUGUAAAUAUCCUAUGUACUUUCCAAAGAAACAUGUUUUUUCAGGUUGACACAGUGCACAAAUUAUAAUGUUGCUUGUACACUGGCUCUUUUCCAAGUUGGCUUUGGGAAAAUAUUGAAUAUCAGCAGGGAAAGAAUGCAUGCGUGCGCACAGACACACUCUCACACUCACAAUUCUUGUCUUCUCAGAAAUAAGGUGUGGAAUAGCUACCAAGUGUUGCCUUGAUACCAUUGUUUACAUGGAACAGUGCUGGAGGCCAAAGGUGUUGCCCUAGUUUCACUGAAGAAACACCUGUGUUCUUGUGGAAACUCGGAGAAAUGAAGAACAAUAUAUGGAAGAUAAACAGGUACAGCAGGAAGACUCAACACAACCCCUUCCCCCACUGCACAAGGACAAUUGAAUCGAUGUGGCUUCUGUGCAGCUUCAGUUUGUAUGUGUGGGAAUAACCACCGCUUGAUUCUACAAGACACCAAAGGCUGCGAAAAUACACAUUUCCCAAAGGAAUUAAAGAAGUGUGACUGAAUAAAAAGCAUUUGAAUUUGCUUCCUGUCCAGUAUCCAAAAGGAUUCCUGCCUACUUUGCUUGCAGCACUCACAUCUGAGUUUUACUAACUUCAAGACAGAACAGAUUCC